GGGCGGGGCGCGGCGCGCGAGCUGCUGACGCACGCGGCCGGCGGAAGGGGCGGGGAGGCGGACCGCGAGAGCCGGGACCGCGCAUCCUGGACCCCGAGCCCCGAGACGUGGACCCGGACCACGAGCCCCGAGGCCCGGGACCAGACCGCGAGAGCCGGGAACGCGGACCCCGGACCACGAGCCCCGAGAGCCGGGACUGCAGACCCCGGACCACGAGCCCCGAGACCUGGGACCGGACCGCGAGAGCCGGGACCGCGGACCCCGCACCCCAAGACCUGAGACCCGGGACCGCGGAUCCCGGACCCCGAACCCCGAGACCCGGGCCGCGGGCACAGCCCGGGAGGAGAGGCCGCGCGGCCCGCCCGGGGUGGCGGCGCCCCGGAGGUCUCGGCGCGGCUGCCGCAUCCCAUCCCGGGGUCCCAGCCCGGACGAGGCUCCGUCCUGGUCCCCCGGGGCCGGCCACCUGGAGGAGGCCUCAUCCCCGGGAGCCGGUCACCUGAGGAGGACCCGUCCUCAUCCCUGGGGUCCCAUCGCCCGAGGAGGCCCAGGAGGCGGGUCACGGCGGGCGGCCGCAGGGGCACGGGUGGGCAGGCCGCCGGAGCUCGGCGGUCGGGCGCCCCUCCCGGUGGAGCAGGGACCGUGGCCGCGCGGUGUCCCGGCGCAGGUGCCGAGCCGCGGAGACGCCCCUGCUCGCUCCACCUUGGCCGUGACGGCGUCCUCGGUUCAUUUAGGAAAAAGACCCCCAGACUUGCAGGUGUCCACGGAGGGGUCCCAGCUCCCAGGACGUCGGAAAGGUGGGACUGCCCCCCGCCCCGGGCCCGGGCUCCCCUCCGGGAAACGGGGCGGUGCGAGCGGCCUCCCCCGAGCGCCCGUGGGGAGCAGGGCUGCGGACGGACGGCGGCCCCGACUCUGAACCCGCUCGGCGUGGGGUCCCUGCAGGAGGCUGAGACCGCGGGCCUGUCGGGGCGCGUGGGAGGCCCGCCGUCUGCGGCUCCCCGCGCCUUCCCGGGGCUGAGCAGCCCGAGGGGGGCCCUUCAACCUGAGCAGCAUCUUCGGGGAGGAGGCUGUCAAGACUUCUGUCCCAGAGCUCUGCAGUAACUGCCGUUAACGUGAGGGUGAUGAGAGCUGGCUCCGCCCCGUGAUUAGUGGCGCAUACUGGAGAACAGAGGCUGCCAGAAGCUGGAAUCCGCGACCCUGGAAGGGAGCAGGUUAAUCCCCGCUUGGCGUCUGAGCCUGUACUGUUUACCUCGCACUCGACUCUAAUCUGUGAGUUGAUUGUCAGCUUCAGUUUCCUGGGAGAGCACACAGCCUUAACCUGAAGUGGACCCUAACCAUGGAGAAGUCCUGCGGAAGCCAAUGGGAUGGCACAGUCAUCUCAACCCUGAGAGAAAAACGGUCCUUCCAGCCAGGGGAGGCAGGAGGAUGCGACCCUCUCUGAAGAACGUGGAGGGAAUCCGUGUUUAUUGUUUCUCUCCUCAUUUUGCCUGAGGGCAGUUCCUUUUGGCAAAAUCAUGGGGCAUGUCGGCGGGUAACAACCAGAGAGAAACCGAGACUUUCUAACCAAAGCACCAGGAAAAGAGACCCCAGGGGGCCAGAGAGCCCGGGAGUCAUCCUGGAGAGGAGAGGCCUGGAAAGCAGCUCACCAUUCUGUGUACGAGCAGACACACGUGCCCAGCGCUGCAUGUGCAAGGCAGAGCAGAAGCACGUUCGAAAUGAAUCGACACUGGAACUGCCACCAACAGAGAAAGACGGGGCUGCUGUCAGAGGAUAACCAGCGCAAGUCUGCUGAAGCACAACUAAACAUGCCCCAGAGAAUUCUUUAGAAUUUUAGCACACAGGGUCUCCCAGCAUAAACAGACAGUCCUUGCUUUGCACAGCAGGACAGACCGUAAAAAUGGCCGUGCCAGCUGAAACUGUGCCCUGCAGCCAUAAUAACCACUGGGUAAAGUUAGGAUUUUCUGUGACUUUUAGAAAUUUUCAUCAAAACAUCAAAAACUCAUAUUGUCGGUUAUAAAUGUGUGAGGAAAUGAGCAAAAUAGUAAAAUUAAUAUUUAUUUUGUACAUUGCAAUCAAAAACAUUAGUAACACAAGAUUAAACUGUUUUCAGUCUUCGUGAAAAACUCACCGAGUCAUGUGAACGGCACCUGCCUUCGUAAGUGGUAUAACUUACUUCACAACUCAUCGUACUCCUUUCUAAGUUUGCAUCAGCUUCCAACGUUUUCUCCUUUGUGCUUCUAAUGUCAUGAAAUAUCUCCAGGUUCCUUUAAUGGGAGUUUUUUUGCCGGUGUCCCUUCCUCUGGGACAUCUUCGUCCUUUUUGUCACAACCACUUUGCUCACUUGUUUGAUAAAUUCACUUCACUCGGUUCCUUUGACAGCACGUCUCGACUGUCUGGCUCGUGCAGUUGCUCUGUCUUUGAUGACCCCAUUUAUGUUUGCUUUGAAUUUCACUCUCAUUGUUUCCAGCUUCCAUUUCUUCGCUGCACUUUCAUCCUUGUUGGCCAAUGCCCUCUUUGGAUGACCACUUUUGUAAACUGUCAUGUGGGUUUAUCACUGGAGACAAGGAGGCAACGCAACCACAUGCUUUGCUGUCUGUGCACAUGAGCUAAGAGGCGUGCAGUGCCCAGUCACCGACAGACUCUGCAAGAAGUGCUGUCAUCAGUCACCGAGCACGAUGCCAUCUGCUGUUCACGUGUGAUGGGUGGAGUGGGGCCACCCACACAGUUUCAGCGAGACAGAACUUCAUGCAAUUACUCACAGUUACUACACUGAGGGAUGGUUAGAACAAUUUGUGUGGCAGGUGAAGAAUCCGCGAUGUUAUGGUCUUUUAUAACUAAAUGGGAAACUGCCAACUUUACGUUCACUUCACUUGCUCCCUGGCUCAACAGAACUGAACUUGGUUUAAAGACAGACAGAAUGAUGCAGCCUGUCAGUAAUCCAACACAGGAAAGCGGGUCUGCAGCCUUCGCGGGGUAGGUGCGGGCAACCUGACGUCAGUGAUCCAGCAGAGAAAGCGAGUCUGCGGCCGUCGGGGAAGCUGGAGAGAUGAGAGAAGUCCUAGUGCUGACCACAGGGUCACUCCACUCCCGCCAUCUCUUGGGAAGCUCUUGAUUUCCUUAUUGUGGUGACACAGCAGAAGAGCGGGCUGAUUCAGUCCCCAGAAGUGGUGUGUACCUUCCAGAAGGCUGUAUGCAUUUGGCCUCUGUUUCCACCCCUGAGCUCCACGCUGGUCUCCAUUUCAGGGACUCAGUGACAACUCACUCAGUCCUGGCCCCCAAGUGGAACAGAGACAGCGUGUGCCACAUUAAUUGGUGCCACAUCUCAUGGGCAGGCUGGCGUGGACUGAGCCUGGGGAACACGUGGCUGCCACACUUCUUCCUGUCCCUGCACACAGCACCUGCUGGAGGAGGGCCUGCCUGAUUGGGCCUGAGGGCUGGCUCAUGAACUCCGGGCACUGCAGCUUCACUUGUAACAGCCAGCGUCUGGAACCAGCCAAAUGUCCAUCCACAGAAGAAUGGAUAAGCAGGUUGUGGUCUGCCCAUAUCAUGGAAUUCAACUCAACAAUAAAAACAGAUGAACUGUUUAUUCACAAAACAGCAUUGUUGACCCUCAAAAGAAUUAUGCUGAGUGAAAGAAGCCAGACGAAAAAUAAUUUUUACUGUAUGAUGGAUUCCCUGUGUAGAAAACUCUGGAAAAUGCAAAUAUAACUGAUACUCGGUGACAAAAAGCAGAUCGGGGGUUG
ensembl:lncRNA